AGGCGUCCCAAAAUUUGAUGAUUUGAUGUAGGCAGCAUGCCCUUUGUGGGACCCAACAUGGUACUUAAACUCAUGACCCUAAGAUCAAGACCUGAGCUGAGAUCAAGAGUUGGACACUCAACAAAGAGUCACCCAGUGUGGAUCUUCUGUGCCUGGAGUACCUGGUGUGGGAUCUGCUCCUCUCCCUUUACCAUGCUUGCCUUGUCCCUCCCUCCCAUGGAUGCCUCACAGAAUUCCAUCACUAUUGGUUUCCUGCAUCAGCCUUUUCAAGGAAGUAAUUUUGUACUAAGUGUCUGUGUCUUUAAUGCCUACCACAAUGUUUAACACCUGUAAAAUGGUUCAAUAAAAGUGAUUCAAUAAAAGCAUACUGAUUGAGUGCAACAAAAAGAACACUUGCUUUUUCAUGGAGUAAUCAACUGAUAAGUCAACUGUCAUCAAUUUGUUGAUUUCUUGUUAAUGAAUACCAUUAUAAACACUUUGAAUGUAUACUUA